rnacentral:lncRNA from 1 species
CUACAUUGUGUGUCAAAUCCUUUCUGAAUCCUUUUUGUUGCAUAUAUGAGAAGACAUUUAGAAAAAGAUUUUGGAAUGCCUUUAAUCUUCUAAAUCAACAAUAAAGAAAAAAAUGAAAUAAAGGUCAAGGUUUUGAUAUACUGCUUCUAAAGUACAUCCCACACUGAGUAAAACACCAUGAAAUCAUCUGUCAGAACUGACUUUCUUCCAGAGACUACAUUCCAAGAGCGUGAAGAGAGCAAAGUGGCUAUUGGAUGGUUUCCUUAGAUUCCAAUGCACCUUAAUCAUAUUCACAAGACUGUACGUUUUCAUCACUGCAGGAGCUGGCAGAAUUUUGUGACAAUUCUGGGAAAUGCUUUCAGAUGGCCCCUUCUAUGAAUUAUGAAUGUUUCACAAAGCUCUAUGGUAAAUGGAAUAGCCUUGUUCUCCACAAAUGCAGGGGUGGAUUAAGAGGUGGCCUUCCUUUGUUUCUUUGCCUUGAAAUUUAAUAUUGUUUGCAAACAGAGAAAUUAAAUCUCGAUGAAGGUUCCCAUGGGUGAAUUUGGUGUUACAGCAAGAUUUGAAACUGUCUGACCUGAUAGGGGUGAAAAGAAUCUGGCUGGACUGUCCACCUCUCACUGUGGGGGCAGCUCCUGGCUUAGAAGUUCUAGACCAGGUCCAAAGGCUGUUGACAGAGAACCCACAUCUUAUCACAGGAGAUUCCAAGGAGUCACACAGAUGGCCCCACGGAGGGUCAAGCUGGAAGAGGAAAGGGAAGGUGAAAUAUGAGAGAAGCUGAAAGGAUAUACAGCAGGAAGACAAGCUUUCAAGGAGCUUCAGUGUGUGCAUCUGCAUUUAGACCACAAACAGCAACAGUGCUGGAAUUUCCACUCUCUGAGGUGUUAGGUAUGACAGUCCCAUGGUAGGGAAAGUUAUUUAGAAAGAAUCAUGCAAAAUUGAAGAGAAUGUUUAGAAUGUUUAUUUAAUAAGCAUCAAGUUUUGCUCAAGCUUAAUAGAUUCUCAACUGUGUGACUUUAGGAAAUACAAUCUGUACAGUGUUUCUGAAGUAACCACUUACCAGACAAUAAAACAAAUCAUACAGCUAAAAUAAACAUCUCAAAAUUAUCUGCCCAGCCCUCAGCUUCCCAACCACUCUGCACAGAUAUGUGUCUAUUUUAUACCUAAAUAUUACCCAAAGUGGAAACUUUUAACUAUCCACCUAUACCUCAUUUCUGUGUUUUAUCACAGUAAGUCCCAAUUCCAUGAAUUUGCUUUUGCCAUUUUUAUGACACAUCAAUGGCUGUCCAAAAGACUCCAGAAAUUAUUCAACUUCCAGUAGGUCACUGAGAAAGGCCAAGAGAGAAAAUUUCCAUCAAAUGGGUACUUUCUUCACCAGAAAUAGGGGUGGAAGACUCUCUCAACAAGACACCACAGAAGAGGUGGGUGGGUGGCAAAUUUCUUCUUUGUUUUUCUUCUGUAGUGUUCCAUAGAUGCCUCUUCCAUGACAGUUUUACUAUGUGAUAAUUAUUUGUUAAUAUGUUUGGUUUUCCUCUAGAUCCCAACCUUCCUUGAUGAAAGGAUGCUAGGUGCUCAAUAAAUGCUUCAUGAAGAAAUGAACCCAAUCACAUGCCAGGCCUUUAAGAAUACUCACUAUUGGAGCACUCUCUCUAAGAACCCACAUGCAGAGGCCACAUAGAGGAGCUUCAGUUGACAGCUCUGGCUAAGCUCCAACCCAAUAGCCAGCAGCAGCUGCCAGGCUUGUGAAUGACAUCUUGGACAUCCAGCUCAGUCAAGUCUUCAGAUGACUCCAGUCUCAGCUGCCAUCUGACUGCAACUGCAUGAGAGAUUCCAAGUAAGAAUUGUCCCAGUUGAGCCCAGUCAACAUGCAGAAGUUGGGAGAUGAUAAAAAAUUAUUGUUUUGAGACACUAAAUUUUAGAGUAUUUAAUUUUGCAGUAAUAGACACCUGAAACAAUGUUUUCUUCUGAGUUAAUUUGCGAAUUGUGAAAAUUUUCAAGAGAUGGUUAGUAAAAGUUUUUGUGUGCAUAUUUCAAGUUUAAUGUACCUGGUGCUGAAAACCAUUUGGAACUGUAAGCAUGUU